rnacentral:rRNA from 1 species
CCGGGGGUUUCCCGGGCCCGCCCGUCCCGGCCCGGACCCGGACCGGGCCGACCGGUACGGGUAGGUAACGUAACGACGUAGUGACACGUCGGCCGCGACGGGGACAACCCGGGGAAACCCGGACUAAUACCCGGCGGGGCCUGGAGGGGGCAUCCCCUCCCGGCUGAAGGAGGCGACUCCGCCGCGGGAUGGGCAUGCGGCGCAUUAGCUUGUUGGCGGGGCAACGGCCCACCAAGGCGACGAUGCGUAGGGGUUCUGAGAGGAAGGUCCCCCACACUGGAACUGAGACACGGUCCAGACUCCUACGGAAGGCAGCAG